UUAUAUGUCGUUCAUCGUGAAAUUGAGUUAUUCAGAUGUUUAUUGCCGGUCUGGGUGCACUGACAAUGGGAUGGGUGGACAGGGGGUGGAGGGAGAAAGGGAAGGGGGACAAGACUGCGUGAUUACACUCGAUGCAAUGCACUUCAAUACCCAACGGGGUACUGAAUUAAUAAAUUUGCACAGUCCCAACGCACAUGUCCCCCUUGAUGCGCUGUACUCGUCGUUUACGGGCCAUGAGAUGAAUCGAAAUGACCGUGAGGGAGGUGUGUACAGUUAAACGAUGAAGAAAAUAGCGAUGACGAAUGUAUUUGAAGUGUUUUGUUUAACUGUACAUCCCGAUGAAAUUUCAACGCGAGACCUUAACCAGCGAUGAUGGUCGACUAUGUGAAACCAAACAAUCAACCUCAUCAAAACCAAGAUCCGGUAGCUUCAGUGGUGUCGCGUGGGCGAAUAACACGACUGUGGAAAAUGCUAGGCUGUGUUGGGUGUACAUACAGUGCAUCAAAAUGCCAAUCACCCGGUUAUACUCACGCUUCGAGAAAGUCCUGUGAAGCCAAUACCGACGAGCAAAAAUAUACAUGUCCCUGGAGUCAAUUACGAUGAAUAAGGGAUGGCUCAGAAAUACGACAUUGACAUUUAUCCUGAACGUGGGGGAAGAAAGUUUUACGGGGGUGUCGCUAAAUUUCAGGGAUUGAUUUUGAAAAAGUUUCCUAAUUCUAGGACCACAAUUCUGAAAUCGAGUUUGUGGAGAUUAGCGACGAACUGGGGGAGGAGGGGGGGGGGGGAUCUGCACAAUGGUUCUUAUUUUAAGAACCCAAGUAAUUGGCUUCCAGACCCGAAAUCUUGAUUUAAUUACUCAGAGUACCUGGAUUUGAGUAGAAAAACCCAACGAAAGAGAUCAAAUUUAGGAAAAUACUGUGAAAGAGAAAUAACUCAUUCUUAGAUUCAUUUGUUUUAAUUGCAGUCAGUCACCUGAGUUUUCUUAAUAAUCGGUUACAUAUGUACAAAAAAUCCCAUUCAAGUGUCGAUAUAAACAAAAUGUUGGGAAUAUGGGUGUGUAUGGAGCCAGAGGACUAUAACCGGAGGAACACGGGAGCAGCGAGCCAGCAAGAAACUCGUCGAGGAUAAUUAGAUAUCAGAUUUCAUCCCGUCUCGUCUGGAUCCGCCUUCACCUAGCAUUAAAAAUCCUGACAUUUUCCGCGAUCUCUCUCUCGAAAAAAGUCACUUCAAAUUGGCCUCGAAUCACUCACCAAUAAAAGCGCGAAAUAUUUGUUUUCCUCUCAAGGAUUUCCCCGAAUUAAUCUGGAUAAAAUAUUCGAGAUCAAAGUGAACUCUAGAGCACUUAACGGACCCCUUCAAACAUCUGUUGUGUGGAAAUGCCACUUUACUGUUACAUGACGAGAAAAUGAAUAUUCAUUUGCCUUGAGAAUGGAGAAAGUUUUUUUUCCCCUGAAAUUAUUGAUUGCCUGCAAUGUUAACAGACAUUAAAACGAUCCAUUCGUAUCUAAGAAUGUCAUCUGACAAAAAAAAUUAAUCUAACAAAAAGAUUCAGAACGAUAUAAUCCAAUUUGAUAAGAUAAUGAAACAUCAAACAUCCGAGGAUUCCUCUCUAUCUCUCUAUUUCUAACAUCAAGGGGUUGUUGCACUCUAACGUUGCUCCGAUGACUCGCUGUGAUUCUCAGAAUGACCAUGACUCUGCGUAAAAGGGACACCGAAUGUAUAUAGUAAUAUAUCUCGAAAUGCCGCCGAAGGGGGAUUGGGAUUGUACCAUUUGAGCACGUACGAGUUUGUUGCCAACGAUUGAUAUUUCCACGUAGCGGUCUUCGUCCGGCCUUAGAGCCCGAUAGAAUCCGGUACUUCUCAGAUGCUCUGAAUCCCACACUAGUGCCUCUUUAUAUUAUGAAAAUUAUAGGUAACGAUCGGCUGCCUCCACUACGUCGAUCAAAGACAGCCUGUUAUUAUUUAUUAAUUGUUCUGAUGUUCCAUUUAUCGCAGACUGUUUCCCACUCAUAUUUAUAACGUCACAUUGAAAAAAUUGAUUCACAGAAAUAAACAUUGUAAUUGUGAAUCAACUUCUCCUUAACAUUUUUUGCCAACUUCAACUUUAGAAAAAUUCUUACUGAAUCAAAUCAUGAACAUUAAUUAAUUAAUUGACACUGUCACAUGCCAAAUAAAUUAGUUAACUCCAUUUGCGGUGCUUAAAUAAUUGGUUUAAUGGAAAAUAAAAUUUUUAUU